AGCUCCAGCGGAGGCGGCUGCCGGCGUGUCUACACUCUGCGGUCUGCUCGUGAGGCGGGGGGAGGUCUGCAGCGUCUGCUUCAAGCUCCAGCGGCGGUCCGUGCUGGUCUGCUCGUGCUCGCCGUGGAGGAGUAGCGACGCGGAGAAUGGAGGCGGUGGUGGAGGUCGCCGGUCAGAGAAGACUCGGCUGUGCAGUGUGGAGAAUGGAGGCGCGGCUGGGAGUAGGAGGGAGGAGACUAGCUUCUAGGGUUUCCAUUUUGAAAGAAAGGGGAGGGGAGGCGCGGCGC
rnacentral:lncRNA from 1 species